rnacentral:rRNA from 1 species
CCUACGGGAGGCAGCAGUGGGGAAUAUUGGGCAAUGGGCGAAAGCCUGACCCAGCCACGCCGCGUGAAGGAAGAAGGCCCUCGGGUUGGAAACUUCCUUUAAGCGGGGAGCGCAGAAGACGGUACCUCUUGCAUAGGCCACGGCUCACUACGUGCCAGCCGGCGCGGUCAUACGUAGGUGGCAAGCGUAAUCCGGAUUUACUAGGUGUAACGGGCGUGUAGGGGGGUGAGUAAGGCAGACGUGAAAUGCCAGGGCUACAACCUGGAACUGCGUUUGAAACUGUUCUUCUUGAGUGAUCGAGAGGCAGGCGGAAUGCCGGGUGUAGCGGUGAAAUGCGUAGAUAUACGGAAGAACACCAGUGGCGAAGGCGGCCUGCUGGACAUUAACUGACGCUGAGGCGCGAAAGCGUGGGGAGCGAACAGGAUUAGAUACCCCAGUAGUC